CGUUCUGUAAGCCUGCGAAGGUGUGCUGUGAGGCAUGCUGGAGGUAUCAGAAGUGCGAAUGCUGACAUAAGUAACGAUAAAGCGGGUGAAAAGCCCGCUCGCCGGAAGACCAAGGGUUCCUGUCCAACGUUAAUCGGGGCAGGGUGAGUCGACCCCUAAGGCGAGGCCGAAAGGCGUAGUCGAUGGGAAACAGGUUAAUAUUCCUGUACUUGGUGUUACUGCGAAGGGGGGACGGAGAAGGCUAUGUUGGCCGGGCGACGGUUGUCCCGGUUUAAGCGUGUAGGCUGGUUUUCCAGGCAAAUCCGGAAAAUCAAGGCUGAGGCGUGAUGACGAGGCACUACGGUGCUGAAGCAACAAAUGCCCUGCUUCCAGGAAAAGCCUCUAAGCAUCAGGUAACAUCAAAUCGUACCCCAAACCGACACAGGUGGUCAGGUAGAGAAUACCAAGGCGCUUGAGAGAACUCGGGUGAAGGAACUAGGCAAAAUGGUGCCGUAACUUCGGGAGAAGGCACGCUGAUAUGUAGGU
rnacentral:rRNA from 1 species